GAGUUUGAUCAUGGCUCAGAUUGAACGCUGGCGGCAUGCCUUACACAUGCAAGUCGAACGGCAGCACGGGAGCUUGCUCCUGGUGGCGAGUGGCGAACGGGUGAGUAAUGCAUCGGAACGUAUCCUGGAGUGGGGGGAUAACGUAGCGAAAGUUACGCUAAUACCGCAUAUUCUGUGAGCAGGAAAGCGGGGGACCUUCGGGCCUCGCGCUCUUGGAGCGGCCGAUGUCGGAUUAGCUAGUUGGUGAGGUAAAGGCUCACCAAGGCGACGAUCCGUAGCAGGUCUGAGAGGAUGAUCUGCCACACUGGAACUGAGACACGGUCCAGACUCCUACGGGAGGCAGCAGUGGGGAAUUUUGGACAAUGGGGGCAACCCUGAUCCAGCCAUGCCGCGUGAGUGAAGAAGGCC
rnacentral:rRNA from 2 species